CAAACUGGAGAUGGCGACCGGCGCACGGGUGAGUAACACGUAUCCAACCUGCCGAUAACUCGGGGAUAGCCUUUCGAAAGAAAGAUUAAUACCCGAUGGCAUAGUUCUUCCGCAUGGUAGAACUAUUAAAGAAUUUCGGUCAUCGAUGGGGAUGCGUUCCAUUAGAUAGUAGGCGGGGUAACGGCCCACCUAGUCUUCGAUGGGUAGGGGUUCUGAGAGGAAGGUCCCCCACAUUGGAACUGAGACACGGUCCAAACUCCUACGGGAGGCAGCAUG
rnacentral:rRNA from 1 species